CAGCCGCCGCGGUAAUACGUAGGGGGCGAGCGUUGUCCGGAAUUAUUGGGCGUAAAGCGCGCGCAGGCGGUCCCUUAAGUCUGAUGUGAAAGCCCACGGCUCAACCGUGGAGGGUCAUUGGAAACUGGGGGACUUGAGUGCAGAAGAGGAGAGCGGAAUUCCACGUGUAGCGGUGAAAUGCGUAGAGAUGUGGAGGAACACCAGUGGCGAAGGCGGCUCUCUGGUCUGUAACUGACGCUGAGGCGCGAAAGCGUGGGGAGCGAACAGGAUUAGAUACCCUGGUAGUCCACGCCGUAAACGAUGAGUGCUAAGUGUUAGAGGGGUUAAACCCUUUAGUGCUGUAGCUAACGCGUUAAGCACUCCGCCUGGGGAGUACGGCCGCAAGGCUGAAACUUAAAGGAAUUGGCGGG
rnacentral:rRNA from 1 species